GAUGAACGCUAGCGGCAGGCUUAACACAUGCAAGUCGAGGGGUAGAGGCUUUCGGGCCUUGGGACCGGCGCACGGGUGCGUAACGCGUAUGCAAUCUGCCUUGUACUGGGGGAUAGCCCAGAGAAAUUUGGAUUAAUACCCCAUAGUAUUUUCGGUUGGCAUCAACUGAUUAUUAAAGUUUUUCGGUACAAGAUGAGCAUGCGUCCCAUUAGCGAGUUGGUAUGGUAACGGCAUACCAAGGCUACGAUGGGUAGGGGUCCUGAGAGGGAGAUCCCCCACACUGGUACUGAGACACGGACCAGACUCCUACGGGAGGCAGCAGUGAGGAAUAUUGGUCAAUGGUCGCAAGACUGAACCAGCCAUGCCGCGUGCAGGAUGAAGCAUCUAUGGUGUGUAAACUGCUUUUGUACGGGAAGAAACACUGCUACGUGUAGCAGCUUGACGGUACCGUAAGAAUAAGGAUCGGCUAACUCCGUGCCAGCCGCCGCGGUAAUAC
rnacentral:rRNA from 1 species